rnacentral:lncRNA from 1 species
AGGCAGAAUAGAAGACAUGUGCUCCUCAAAACCAGGAAGGGGAGAGAAAGGCCAGGCCCAGCAGGCAGGCAGCAUCAGUCAGGACCACGCUCAGCUGCGUGGAGGAGAGAGCUGGCUUCUUUGGCUUAGACAAGGGUGGCAAUGUUUUCCUCACUAAUGAGGAAUCUGGGCGGGGCAGUCCAGAGUAGGUGCUGGUGCCCGAGAAACUCGUGAGGACCUGGCUCCUUCUCGCUGCUCCUCAGUCACCUUGGCGUCGCGUUUAUGCUCCAGUCAAGGUAAAGGGGGAGGAACAGCCUUGGAGAUGGUGCCACGGAAGCUCCACCCUGUGAGUUUUGCCUCCAUUUGCAGUCAGCCAGCACUGAUUUCCAUGGCCUCUUCUGAUCAGAAGGGAAUCCGGGAGAGCAGAGGAGUUGUAACUGGCUGCUUUGCCACCCCAAAUAGAAUCGAGUUCUCUUGAUUUCCUGGGAUCUGAAGGAAGUUCAUUUCUGAAGGCAAACUGGAGGCCCAUGCCACAACCCAGUGCCGAUCCACGUCCCCUUAUUUUGGUGUUGCUGCUAGCACAGGAGAUGCGCAGUGUCUCAGAAACCGAUCUGCAUCUUGGCGAUUGAGAUGAGAUUUGUUUGGUAGAAAAACCAAAUGGUUUUCUAGAUGUUGGCUGUACAAAUCAUGAGGACUGCGCGAAAGUAAUGGGCUGAGCUGACUGCCAACAGGAACUGCUAUUUAAAGAUGGGUGUGGUGCUCAAGGAGCUACUGGAGUGGACACCGCCCAGCCUGGACCCCUCUGGCAGGCCACUUCCCCAGCUUCCAGGAGUGUCGGCUGCGAAUAUCGCACAGCUUCCCUUUCUCCAGAGAAUUGCCCUGGGCCAACAGAAGCCUCUUUGCAGGAGGCCACUGUCCUCUCCACCCAGCCUGUAGUAAAUGAUGGACGGGACAGGAGGGGUACAAAAGCCAAGGUGCCUUGCUGGAGGGUCUCCCCCUCUUCCCCAGCCUGCUUCCCUCAGCUCCUGCAGCUUCUUCCUUUCAAGGACCCUCUCAGUGGAUCCCGGACCCCUGAAUUCUGUCUCAGGCUCUGCCUCAGGGAGCCCAGCCCUUCCCUAUCUUACUGUUGAAGACACGUGGGUGUGAGAGGUGGAGACAUAGGGGCGCCCUUGCUCUUCUGUGCCUGCAGUCGAUUUGGCAGGUUGCUUCUCGUGUGCUCUCUGCAGAAACAGAUGCCCUUGCGAUGACUGCAUCCGGGACCUCUGCGGACUUGAGCAGUUAUUUGAGUUCCAACUUUCACCAGUUGUGAGAAGACUUUAAAUAUUCUGACCCUAAACCGUCUUGGGAUGGCUGAUGUCAUGAAAAUUCUUGAGUCAUAGAAGCCAUUUGGUGUUUAUUCUGCUGAGAGUGUUUUGCAGAAUCUUUCAUCCUUGAGCCUUCUGUUGUAGUCUCAGGUGUCUGGCUGGGGCCCUUCUAACAAAACACAGAUGAAUAAGAGAAAAGCAUAGAAAUUUAUUUAACAUAAGGUGUAUAUGACAUGGGAGACUUCGUGAGAAAACGAGGACCUGAAGAAGCGAUUGAACCUGAGUGUUUUUAUACUAGGUUUGAUGAAGAGCGGAAAGUCAUGGAAAAUGCGAUAGGGCAAAGAGUAUGAGCUGAGGGGAGUGAACUGGGGAAACACAGCAAGGCCUCUUGGUCCAGAUCCUUCUCAGCAUCCCUCCUUCCUCGGAGGUAAGGAUGCUCCUCUCCUCGGGCACCAGGAGGGCCUCUCUCAUGAGGGUUUAGUGACCUGCUUCAGGGAGGGUCAGAGGGUCCUUCCUGCACCUGCUGUUUCUCAAAUUUCAGCUUAAACUAUUCAAUAUGCCAAGGUGCCAUAUUUUGGGCUGUCGUGUCCUGAGCCCUGUCGUGGGGUAUAUUGAAAGCUUUCAACAUCACUAGCAUUUCAUUGCUUCUUUAUAAAUGGACUGAAAUGGGAAUUUCUCCCAAUUCCUAUCUUUCUGUUUUUCUUAACUCAAAUUCAUGACUGAGAUAAUUGUAAUUUUCUUCUUGACUUCUAGUGUGAUUUAACAGGAUGCUCUAUGACCAAUAGCAUAUACGUUAGUGGCAGUUGACCCCUCAAUUUUGAGAUAUGUUUAACUGUUUUUGAUUCCUCAAGCUCAAAUCAUGAAUGUACCCAAAUAAAGAAUAAAAUACUCUUCUUGAAAACACACACGCAGUAAAAUAGUAAAUAUGAACAAAGGAUCUGGUGCUGGCACAUGUUAAAAUUCAGGUAAUGAUGCUCUUUCUCUGUUUUGAAAAAAGUUAAAAUGCCACAUAGGUGCUCAGUCCAGGAAGGAAAGUCUUCACAAUCUACUUUGUUCAUGAGAUGCUUUAACAAUAAACAGCAUGGCUAUUCUGGAAGCACCUGUUAAACCAAUUAUAUGGCAAAUUUUCAAGUUCUAGAAUGAGCAGAUUUGUAAUUGGUGAAAAAUUUGAUAACCAAGAGAAGACAGGCUCUCGAGGAGACAGCAGGCGGUGAACAGGGAGUGUGUGAGCGGGAUCUUGCUGGUGUCUGUGUCUUACUGCAACCUGGAAAUUAGACACUUUUACAUGCAAUAUUUUUUUUUCACAUAACAGUUCCCAAAUAAACAGUUAAAGCAGUUUCCGGUGAUUAAGGCAAUAUAGGGGAUUAGUUUUGUUAUGUAUAAUCACCUUUGCUUCUCCUUUAUUGAUGAAAAGAGUUUUUCUCAGCGGGUUGUGUUAUCUAUUUUAGAUGUUGCCUGAUCUUGUUUUUUAAAUGUAAAUCAGCUUUUUAAUCUUUUUUUAUGUAAAUUUGAUAG